AUACGUAGGUGGCAAGCGUUGUCCGGAUUUAUUGGGCGUAAAGCGAGCGCAGGCGGUUUUUUUAAGUCUGAUGUGAAAGCCCUCGGCUUAACCGAGGAAGCGCAUCGGAAACUGGGAAACUUGAGUGCAGAAGAGGACAGUGGAACUCCAUGUGUAGCGGUGAAAUGGCGUAGAUAUAUGGAAGAACACCAGUGGCGAAGGCGGCUGUCUGGUCUGUAACUGACGCUGAGG
rnacentral:rRNA from 1 species